UAAUAUUUUUUGUACAGUUUGUGAAGUUCUUCGGAAUCCUUCAUUAUAAAAGUGUAAUAUAAAUGUAAAUUCUGGGCAGUCUAACCAAGAAAAACGGUCUAUGACAACUGCAGACUCCCGUAACAGAUUUCCUAAAGGUGACAUGCAAAGACAAGAGGGAUUUUAUGUUGUUCUUGGGAUUAUUAAACCAGCCUCAAGCCAGGGUGAAGAUGUGAACUACACUUCCUCACAGUAGGCUCCAAUACCACCAGUGUCAAAUGGCACUUUUCAGCAACACAGCUCAGCAGCAGACCACUAAAAAUAGCUUCCAGUUUGAAGAUCUGCAUCCAGGCCAGGAGUUUAGUGGCAGGGUAACAAUGCGAGACAGAGGAACGGAGUUCAAAUCCUUUUACCUUUACCAGGACUGGCUGUGCUACAGGAGUAAAGAAAGGAACAUUUCUUAUUUCUCUUUCUCCAUUAAUUUGCGCUAAUAUAAGACUGCAGUAGGACCUUUUCCCUUAUAAUUAUCUGUGAGGCCUCUGAGUUACUAAAAUAAAUCUAUAUUGUAUCAACUGUU